AGUGCUGCAGAGGUCCGGAGACACCCCUGUGCCGAAGCUCUUCCGCAGACACAUCAGCAGAAGUAGCGAACAGGGAACGUAAAAGACGCGGCGUCUCCGUAAUGACAUGUUUUCGCUUAUUGCGGAGGAGCCUUGAGGUUGGAGAGGCUUUCUGACGAGCGACCCAGCAGUAAGUUGUCUACAUGCCAUCCUCGCCCUGCGUCCGGUCCUCCAGUGACAGGAAAACAGAAAUGGGACUUCUUGCGAGAAACACACAGCUUCACCUCAACGUGAGACACUAAGGUCCACAGUCCUUUUAAGUGUCUCCAUAUCUCCACACACCUGACUUGAAUAAACAGGCUUCGGCAGGACUUGGUGGCAAGCAAUCAUUUGAUUCAGGUGAUCUGGAGCAGACACACGUCUAACACAUGAARGACAGAGGGUGCAGCUCUGAACAGACAAGCGUGGGUGUAAAUGAAGUCCUUCCUUCUUUUUGUCUUCCAUGCUGUCCCUUUUGUCCUUCUCCUGUCUUCUUUUCUUCUUAUUGCUUUUUUUCAUCUUUCUGCCCUACAUUCAUUGAUUCCUUYAUUUUCUCCUUCAUUUAGUUCUCUUUCUUUUAUUCCUUUGGUAAUAUAUUUUAUUUUUGUCUGUCAUCAGUUCCUUGUCACCUACCUGUCUUAUGUUCCUUCCUUCCUUGUUUCCUACCAGCUUUUCUUCAUGGCUUUCUUCCUUCCUGUUUUGAUUUAUAAAGGCCCCCAAUGUACAAACUGACCACUGUAAAAUAUCGUCGGUUAUU